rnacentral:rRNA from 1 species
UACGUAGGGGGCAAGCGUUGUCCGGAAUCACUGGGCGUAAAGGGCGCGUAGGCGGCCAUUCAAGUCGGGGGUGAAAGCCUGUGGCUCAACCACAGAAUUGCCUUCGAUACUGUUUGGCUUGAGUAUGGUAGAGGUUGGUGGAACUGCGAGUGUAGAGGUGAAAUUCGUAGAUAUUCGCAAGAACACCGGUGGCGAAGGCGGCCAACUGGACCAUUACUGACGCUGAGGCGCGAAAGCGUGGGGAGCAAACAGG